rnacentral:misc_RNA from 1 species
UGCUGUGGUUGUGGUGGUGGUAGUGGCGGUUGGGGUGGGGACUAUAUUUGUAGCAGCUGGCUCUUCUGUCACAGUUGCACCAGAAGAAGAUGAAUCUCCUUGAGAACUUUUGAAAUCACCAAAUCCUCUAUAAACCCUAGGCACAGACUCGAUCAAUUGAGGUGCACCCUCUUCUUCACGCCCUCUCUUUUGUCCACUCCAGAAACCAGAUCCAGAAGUAGAGGAAUAAGCAGACAAAGGAGGUGAAGAAGAAGAAGAAGAUGAAUAAACACCAGCUGGAGAAAUAACACCAAUACCUCCAUAACUAGAUGUUAUUGCACCUCCU